AGAAGAGGAACCUGCUGCAGGCGCCGGCGCGGGCGGCGAGGACGACCUGUUUUUCUGACCCAGCCCGGAAGCGCUGGUGCAGGCCUUGAGCUUCCUUUUUUCUUCUCGCUGUGGAAAUUGCCUGGAAAGCUAUGAACUGUUGGUUCUUGAAUCAGUUGGCUGCCCCGGAUGUCUGAAUCCCUUGGAAGGAACCUGGAGGAGUUGGCUGAUGGGCUCCAGGUGCUACCGGAUCACCCUAACAACCCUCUGGGACCUGUGGCCAUGUGUUCACAACAGCAGCCAUUACAGGUGUUUCCUGAACUCUUGUCGCGAGCCUCUGUCGGCUCCAUCUCAUCGAUCCUCCCAGCAACCCACAAGGAAGCUUCACAGAGAGGCAGAUGCCACACAGGCCACCCACCCAGAUGCAGAGCCAGAUUCCCUGCGUGGACUGGACGGGAGUUUCCCAGCUGGAGUUCUCUCGGCCAAGCUGCCUGUGACAUGGGGUUGGAGGUGCUCCAGAGAGUCAUGGCCACCCCUGGAGGAAGUGACUUGUGGCUGACUGCUCAAGGGGAAGUCCUGUGGCAGUGGAGUCGUCAGCAUUAAUUCAAAUAAGGUGAGCAACAAGGAAUACCGAGAGGAGGUUUCCACACCAUGAACAAACAUGGCACCAGGAUCUGGAAGCUCCGGGCUUCUCCGUCUUCUAGAAUUCUGGGAGCCUCACAUGGCCCCCUCCUUGGCGAGUGUAUUAGGCUGUACUUGUAUUUCUGAAAUACAAAUAAAUACCUGAGACUGGGCAAUUUAUAAA
rnacentral:lncRNA from 1 species